GAUGAACGCUAGCGGGAGGCCUAACACAUGCAAGCCGAGCGGUAGAGUCUCUUCGGAGACUUGAGAGCGGCGCACGGGUGCGGAACACGUGUGCAACCUGCCUUUAUCUGGGGGAUAGCCUUUCGAAAGGAAGAUUAAUACCCCAUAAUAUACUGGAUGGCAUCAACUGGUAUUGAAAACUCCGGUGGAUAGAGAUGGGCACGCGCAAGAUUAGAUAGUUGGUGAGGUAACGGCUCACCAAGUCAGCGAUCUUUAGGGGGCCUGAGAGGGUGAUCCCCCACACUGGUACUGAGACACGGACCAGACUCCUACGGGAGGCAGCAGUGAGGAAUAUUGGACAAUGGGUGAGAGCCUGAUCCAGCCAUCCCGCGUGAAGGACGACGGCCCUAUGGGUUGUAAACUUCUUUUGUAUAGGGAUAAACCUAGAUACGUGUAUCUAGCUGAAGGUACUAUACGAAUAAGCACCGGCUAACUCCGUG
rnacentral:rRNA from 1 species